rnacentral:lncRNA from 1 species
AAAAAAACUGAGAAGAUUCCACAACAGCUCAAGGGUUAGCGAAUUAUUUUUUGCAUAAAACAUUUAUUUUGUUCUCAAGUGCGACUUACUUUUAUGUUCUCGUACAGGGAAAAGGGACGCGUCAGAAGUAUUUGACUCUUUUUACUGCAAAUUGUUAAAUAAGAAUUCCAAAUCUCCAGAUUAUGAUUCCGUUCUUAGCCUAAGAUUUUGAUUAUUUUGGUUUAAAGCAUACACGUAAAUUUGUUGAAUGGCUAUUAAAACGGAAAUCAAUUUAGGUUAACUGAAUGUUGGAAUAUUCAUGGCACGGAGGC